GUAGGGUGCGAGCGUUAAUCGGAAUUACUGGGCGUAAAGCGUGCGCAGGCGGCGCCGCAAGUCAGGCGUGAAAUCCCCGAGCUUAACUUGGGAAUGGCGCUUGAAACUACGGUGCUGGAGUGUGGCAGAGGGAGGUGGAAUUCCACGUGUAGCGGUGAAAUGCGUANAGAUGUGGAGGAACACCGAUGGCGAAGGCAGCCUCCUGGGCCAACACUGACGCUCAUGCACGAAAGCGUGGGGAGCAAACAGGAUUANAUACCCUGGUAGUCCACGCCCUAAACGAUGAUGACUAGUUGUUGGGGGAGUUAAAUCCCUUAGUAACGCAGCUAACGCGUGAAGUCAUCCGCCUGGGGAGUACGGUCGCAAGAUUA
rnacentral:rRNA from 1 species